rnacentral:lncRNA from 1 species
GUAAGUGGCAUCCACUCUAGCUCCAUCCACAUUCUUCUCGAGUUUAAAUCCAGGAACAAUUGGGUUUUGAACUGGAUUGGAAUUAAUCAUACCAAACCUUUCCAAAACGUCCAGUGCAUACUUCCUUUGGCUAAUAAAAAUACCAUCAAUUUUUUGUGUCACUUCAAUGCCAAGAAAGUAUUUCAUCCUUCCAAGAUCAGUCAUAUCAAACUCUAAUUUCAUAGAUUUUUUGAACUCAUCCAUCAUGGACUUAUCAUUUCCAGUAAGAAUGAGAUCAUCAACAUAAAGACACACAACUAGAAUUUUACCUCCUCCUUUAGUCUUGAUGAACAAAGUGUGUUCAUAGUGGCACUUCUCAAAGCCUUCUUUCAUGAAAUAAGAUUCAAUACGACUAUACCAAGCUCGUGGAGCUUGCUUAAGUCCAUAUAAGGCCUUUUUCAGUUUGUAUACCUUCUCCUCAUCACCUUUUCGUUCAUAGCCUCGAGGCUGCUCCACAAAAACCUCUUCAUUUAAUUUACCAUGCAGGAAGGCUGACUUCACAUCUAGUUGAAAAAUUGUCCAUGUUUUUUGAGCUGCAAGGGCAAUUAUCACACGGAUUGUAUCUAGUCGAGCCACGGGUGCAAAUACCUCAGUAUAAUCCACCUCGUGUUGUUGAGUGUACCCUUUUGCUACAAGACGUGCCUUGUAUUUAUCAACUUCUCCAUUCUCAUUGAGUUUAGUUUUGUAAACCCAUUUUAAUCCUAUCUUCUUUCCUCCAAUAGGCAAGUCAAUUAAAUCCCAAGUAUCAUUCCUUUCUAUUGCUUCAAUCUCCAAAUCCAUGGCUUUUCUCCAUUUAUCACUCCUCACAGCAUCAUCAUAUGAAAUAGGGUCACUAGCAGUAAACAUGACCAAAUGAGCCAUAUCCUCUUCCUCAGAAGGGGCUUCUCCACUGAUGUAGUCUUUCAUCCAAAUAGGCGGCCUUCUUUCUCUUGUUCCAAGAGGAUUUGGUAAGUCUUCAUGUAAUAAUUCACCUGUCCAUUCCUCUGUUUCCAAUUCUGUUUCUGUUUCUGUCUGACUAUUACAAUUUGCAUCUGAUUCAUCCUCAAUAUCACUUUCUCCCCACUCUAAAUCAGCAAUGUUAGUUUCUUCAUGCUUCUUUUCCCAGUUCCAAAUUUCAUCCUCCUCGAAAACCACAUCUCUACUUAUCAAGAUCUUCUGUGAAGUUGGAUCAUAUAAUCUGUAUGCCUUCGACUCCUCACUGACUCCAAGCAAAAUACACUUCAAACUCUUGUCAUCGAGUUUUGUUCUUUUAGCAUCAGGAAUAUGAGCAUGACAAAUGCAUCCAAAAACUCUAAAAUACUCCACUGAUGGCUUAGUUCCACUCCAGGCUUCUUCCGGAGUUUUAUUCCUCACUGCAAGUGUUGGGCUUCGAUUUAAAACAUGGACGGUCCAAUUAACUGCUUCAGGCCAGAAAGUUUUUGGAAUCUUCUUUUCCGAAAGCAUGCUUCGAACCAUAUUCAUAAUGGUUCGAUUCUUACGUUCUGCUACCCCAUUUUGUUGUGGGGUGUAUGCGGCCGUUAGUUGUCUCCGAAUGCCGUUUACCCUACAAAAUUCAUUGAACUCCUGUGAUGUAAAUUCUCCUCCACAAUCUGUACGCAAGCUUUGUAUAUCUGAACCUGUUUCCUUCUCAACUCGACUUUUGUAAUUUCUGAACGUAAUAAAUGCCUCAGAUUUUUCCACUAAAAAAUACACCCAAGUCUUGCGGCUGAAAUCAUCAAUAAAAGUGAUUAUAUACCUUUUUUUGCUAUUUGAAAUAGGUGUGAUAGGUCCACAUAUGUCUGCAUGUACUAAUUGAAGGAUCUGAGAGGCUCUCCAAGUGCUUUUCUUUGGAAAUGAAUCUCUUGUCUGCUUCCCCACCAAACAAUCUUGACAUAUCUUAGAUGAGGCUUUGAAUUGUGGUAGCCCAUGUACCAUCUUUUUAUCUUGAAGAGUCUUUAGACCUUUUAGACUUAAAUGGCCAUAUCUACAAUGCCAAAGAUGGGAGAGAUCUUCAAUGGUUGAGUUGAAACAGAUUGUUUCAUUUGGCUGAGAAUGAGCAACCAAAAUGAACAUUCUGUUUGAUGUCAUGGCAGUCUCCAUGAUCAGACCUCUCUCAGGGUGAUAAAUUUUGCAUUUCCCAGAUUGAAUGAGAAUUGCAAGCCCCUUCUCUUGUAACUGACCUACACUUAACAAGUUGUUCUUCAAUUCUGGUACAUAAAAAACCCCAGUGAUCACCUGCAUGACUCCAUUGACUUGCAAUCGUACAUUGCCUUUUCCCACUACUGCCAUGCUUGAAUUAUUCCCCAGCUUUACAAAUUCUCUAAAGUUUGCAUCAAAAUCAGAGAAAUACUCCUUUUGAUUGCUCAUGUGAUUGCUACACCCCGAGUCAAGAAACCACAAUGCCUUUUGAUCGGUUUCCUUAGUAUUUGUAACAUCUCUUCAGUAGCCUCGACAUAGCUUGCUUUUACAUUAUUCUCCACCUUGCUAGGACAUUCAUAUUGGAAAUGACCAAGCUUAUGACAGUUAUAACAUUCAACUGUAGACUUGUCAAAGUUUUGUCUACCUCUUCCUCUUCCAUUUCCUCUUCCUCUAAAGCCACCACGUCCUCGUCCUCUUCCUCCUGACUGAUAAUCAUAAGUGAUUUUGAGUGCUUGUUCUUCUACCACAUGAGCAUUCAUGCGUUGCUCAUGCACCAAAAGGCUACUUUGCAAUUCAUCAAUGGAUAAAGUAUCCACAUCGUUGGACUCCUCAAUAGAACACACCACAUAGUCAAAUUUUGAGGUCAUGGAUCUCAAAAUUUUUUCAAUGACAACGACAUCUCCCAUUUUUUCCCCAUGAAUCCUCAUUUUGUUGGCUAUGAUGAGGGUUCGAGCAAAGUAGUCAUUCACAGAUUCACCAGACUUCAUUUGACGCACCUCAAAUUCCCUUCGAAGAGCUUGUAGUUGUGCACGCUUGACUCGUGCAGUCCCUUGAUACUUCUGUUUCAAGGAAUCCCAAAUAUCUUUGGCAGUAUCCUUGUUCAGGAUAGUCUCCAGUAUUGAACGAUCAAUGGCUUGAAAGAGGUAAUUUUUCGCCUUCAGGUCCUUCAGUUUAAGGUCUUCAUUCAACUUUUUUUCUGCUUCAGUAAUCAGAACUCCUUCAGCUACUGCAG